rnacentral:rRNA from 1 species
GACGAACGCUGGCGGCGUGCCUAAUACAUGCAAGUAGAACGCUGAAGGAGGAGCUUGCUUCUCUGGAUGAGUUGCGAACGGGUGAGUAACGCGUAGGUAACCUGCCUGGUAGCGGGGGAUAACUAUUGGAAACGAUAGCUAAUACCGCAUAAUAGUAGAUGCUGCAUGACAUUUGCUUAAAAGGUGCAAUUGCAUCACUACCAGAUGGACCUGCGUUGUAUUAGCUAGUUGGUGGGGUAACGGCUCACCAAGGCGACGAUACAUAGCCGACCUGAGAGGGUGGUCGGCCACACUGGGACUGAGACACGGCCCAGACUCCUACGGGAGGUAGCAGUAGGGAAUCUUCGGCAAUGGACGGAAGUCUGACCGAGCAACGCCGCGUGAGUGAAGAAGGUUUUCGGAUCGUAAAGCUCUGUUGUAAGAGAAGAACGAGUGUGAGAGUGGAAAGUUCACACUGUGACGGUAUCUUACCAGAAAGGGACGGCUAACUACGUG